rnacentral:rRNA from 1 species
UACGGAGGGUGCGAGCGUUGCUCGGAAUCACUGGGCGUAAAGGGUGCGUAGGCGGGUUUUUAAGUCAGGGGUGAAAUCCUGGAGCUCAACUCCAGAACUGCCUUUGAUACUGAGAAUCUUGAGUUCGGGAGAGGUGAGUGGAACUGCGAGUGUAGAGGUGAAAUUCGUAGAUAUUCGCAAGAACACCAGUGGCGAAGGCGGCUCACUGGCCCGAUACUGACGCUGAGGCACGAAAGCGUGGGGAGCAAACAGG